GUUUAUUCCCUUACAGCUCACAUUUUCCCAGGGCCUUGCAACUGUGCUAUUUCAAGCAUGGCCUGUGGAUCUGUAUAGAACAACACAUCCCACAGGCUGAGUCUUGGAGCAUCACGUGUCUACACUGGUCCAAAGGCUGCUGGGUCCCCGGGGGCACUACUGAGGCUACGGGUGUAGCCAGGGAGAGUCAAAUCACAGGAUCUCCUCCCUUGGAAGGCAAAUGACCAGAGAACUGGUUGGGAGAGGCUGCAUCUCUGUCCUGAUCCUGCCAUGGACAGCAGAUUCCUUUUCUGGCUGAUUUCUGGUCUCCUGGAUGCAGGAUACAUGGAGACUGGAGUCAACCAAACGCCUAGCCACUCUAUCACACAGAGGGGACAAAGAGUGGCUUUGAGGUGUAACCCGGUUUCUGGACAUCUUUACCUCUAUUGGUACCGCCAGACUCCAGAAAAGGGAGUGGAGUUUCUGACUUCUUUCUAUAACAAGGUUCCUUCAGAGAAAGCAGACUUUUUCAAGGGCCGUUUGUCAGCUGAGAUGCCUGACGGAUCCUACUCCAUUCUGAAUAUCCAGCUAGCAGAACUGGGAGACUCGGCCAUGUAUCUCUGUGCCAGCAACUAA